AUUUUUAUAGCUUAUAAUUAGAGCAAUACACUGAAGAUGUAUAGGAAGAAUUAACUUAAAAAUA
rnacentral:tRNA from 1 species